UUUCUACUCCCUUCGUCCGAAAAUACUUGUCAUCAAAAUGGAUAAACAUAGAUGUAACUAAAACUAAAAUAUGUCUAGAUACAUUUCCUUUUAUCCAUUUUGAUGACAAGUAUUUCCGGACGGAGGGAGUAUUUG
rfam:Triticum aestivum genome assembly, contig: Triticum_aestivum_CS42_TGACv1_scaffold_331646_4BS